GCCUCCUUAGCUCAGCUGGCAGAGCGGCGCUUUCGUAAAGCGUAGGUCCGCGGUUCGAAUCCGCGAGGAGGCU
rnacentral:tRNA from 1 species